GUCCCAUAAUACUGGGAUUUUAACCCAUGGUUAGAAUGCGCAAGCAUUGUACACUCGUAUUGCGGUGACAAACUAAAACAAGUAAAUUUCACCAAACCAUAGGUUUUGAGACAGUCUUCUCAACCAGACACCGUUUUUGCUAAUUUGUUCGCAGAACAACAGGUUUCGUGUCCAAUUCUCUCACAUCACCCGCAAUAAAGAUUCAAGCGAUUUUGACAGUAUUACUUAGCCUUGAGUCCCGCCUUUCAGGCACCAAGUCUUUUUCAUUGUGCCCCUUGCAUUUUUCUUUUUCUUUUUCACCCCUCGUCUUUUUCUACGAUGUCGGCAGAGAGCACACCAGCGGCCGGGAGCAAGCCACUGUCCGCAGUACUCGUCGUUGGCGCCGGGUUCGGGCACCGGGAGCAAGGAAGAGCGCAACUUGGGGCGGGCAGUGUCCAUCUCCAAGGUCUUGGGGCUACGGUCGUACCCCUAGGAGGACGACUCCAUGCUCGCGGAUAGGCGGCGGCUUUUGUAGGAGGGCACCACGCCGUCGUGCUAGCUCCGUGUGUCCUUUUGCUGCACAACACAACACAAGAAAUUAACCGCACAUCACAUAUUGGUUCCUUGUUACUCCCAAGUUCCAACCUCGGACG
rnacentral:lncRNA from 1 species